rnacentral:rRNA from 1 species
CACGUAGGGCGCGAGCGUUGUCCGGAAUUAUUGGGCGUAAAGAGCUCGUAGGCGGCCUGUUGCGUCCGCUGUGAAAGCCCGGGGCUUAACCCCGGGUCGGCAGUGGAUACGGGCAGGCUAGAGGUAGGUAGGGGAGAAUGGAAUUCCCGGUGUAGCGGUGAAAUGCGCAGAUAUCGGGAGGAACACCGGUGGCGAAGGCGGUUCUCUGGGCCUUACCUGACGCUGAGGAGCGACAACGUGGGGAGCAAACAGG